GAUGAACGCUGGCGGCGUGCCUAAUACAUGCAAGUCGAGCGAACAGAUGAGGAGCUUGCUCCUCUGACGUUAGCGGCGGACGGGUGAGUAACACGUGGAUAACCUACCUAUAAGACUGGGAUAACUUCGGGAAACCGGAGCUAAUACCGGAUAAUAUAUUGAACCGCAUGGUUCAAUAGUGAAAGACGGUUUUGCUGUCUCUUAUAGAUGGAUCCGCGCCGCAUUAGCUAGUUGGUAAGGUAACGGCUUACCAAGGCAACGAUGCGUAGCCGACCUGAGAGGGUGAUCGGCGACCCUGGAACUGAGACACGGUCCAGGCUCCUACGGGAGGCAGCAGUAGGGAAUCUUACGCAAUGGGCGAAAGCCUGACGGAGCAACGCCGCGUGAGUGAUGAAGGUCUUCGGAUCGUAAAACUCUGUUAUUAGGGAAGAACAAAUGUGUAAGUAACUAUGCACGUCUUGACGGUACCUAAUCAGAAAGCCACGGCUAACUACGUG
rnacentral:rRNA from 1 species